GCUGCUGACGAAGAAAAACAGAUUUUUUCACUCGGCUAUCGUAGUUCAGAGUUUGCCGGACAAAAGUGCGCGUCAGUUCAAUCGCCAAAAGUUUAAGUGCCGCUUUAGUUUGCCAAGAUUAGCUAGCUCACAAGUUCCUCCAUUUUUGAGACACCUUACCGAUAUUGGUAUCAAGAGAAGAUUGUCUGGUAGUUCCACUAGGAUUCCUUUUUGACCAUUAUCGAACGCCGAUUAAAACCAUUAGGGCCCGGAAGAAGUGAAAGCUUUCCUCCUUCUCCUUAUUCAACCAAGGCAAUUUUCACACGGUCACACGAUAGGCCGAAACUCAAUCCGGAAAGCGAUUCGUAGGCUUAAAAGUAUUUAUCGCACUAAAAUUUUUGAAGCUGUAAUAAACUUAAAGUACUGCUAUCAGAAGUUAGUGCUUUUGCCUGCGUUUUCGAUUCCGGAAGUCUCAACAU